UUUACUGCUUGGGUUUGAUCGCCAAUAAUCCAAACAAAACCUCCCCAACGCAACUACCGUCUCUGUCUCUCUCUCCGCUCCGAGCACCGCCGAGCACUUUUGACUGAGCGGAGCUGGAGAGAUGCUGCAGUUGCAGGGCCUACGGGCAUUUUCAGUUGCCGAACCCACCCACGUGGCCCUCCCCUCCUACUCACGUGUCAUCCGGACGUCGCUCCGCCCCCACCGUCAGUCAGCUUCCUUCCCGACGACGCGGCCACGUCUCCGAUCACUCCCCAACGUCAGGAGCUGCGCCGCUCUCGCAUUCGAUUUCAAAGGUGGCAAAGGGAUGAGUGAGUUUCUUGAUGUUGAGCUCAAAGUCCGGGAUUAUGAACUUGAUCAAUAUGGUGUCGUUAACAAUGCUGUUUAUGCAAGUUAUUGCCAACAUGGUCGUCAUGAACUUCUGGAAAGGGUCGGCAUCAGUGCCGAUGGAGUUGCCCGCACUGGUAGCGCAUUAGCAUUGUCGGAUUUGUCACUCAAAUUCCUUUCACCUCUCAGAAGUGGAGAUAAGUUUGUCAUAAAGGUCAGGCUCGCUGGCUCCUCAGCUGCUCGCCUAUACUUUGAUCACUUCAUUUUUAAGCUGCCAAAUCAAGAGCCUAUCUUGGAAGCAAAGGCCACGGCAGUAUGGCUUGACAAAAACUAUCGUCCUGUCCGCAUUCCACCAGAGGUGAAAUCUAAACUUGUUCAAUUUCUUCGCCACGAGGAGUCAAACUGAUUUUCCUGCAACAUGGAGUUUGUUGGAUAGACUCCAUUACAAAGGCUCAUGUUGGAUACGCAUCUUGUUUCCGGGAAAUGAAGCAAAAGAAGAUUUCAGACACACUUACACUUCAAGAAAGAUGAUGGAAGAAAAUGAGAAGCUCUAAAUUAUGUUCUUGAACUCAUGGUUGGUUACUUUACGCCGUUUGUCACAAUGGUAAUGAUUGUCACAGACCCUAUUUAUUUAUAACUUUUAGACUGAAUAAUUCAAUGGAACAUCGAGAGACGAUUUAAACAA